AAAAACAUCAUAUCUCGUGAAAGAAACAUUGUAUAACAACCAAACUUGGUAGGUGUCAUGUUGGUGUCAAGGGGGGUGCUUCGAUACGGUCACGUGAUUUUGAUGUCAUCGAUGACAACACUAAAAGCACAACUAUACCGAUUUCAUUUAGAACAAAAAUAUCCAUAUCUCAUAAAAGAAACAUCAUACAAUAACCAAUCUUAGUAUGUGUCAUGAAGGUGUCAAGGGGGUGUACCAAUAUAGUCACGUGAUUGCGACGUCACUAAAGCAACAAUAUUUUGACGUCAUCAAAAUAAAAAGAAUAUAUAUUUCAUUAAAGCACCAUCGUAUGACAACAAAACUCGGUAGGUAUGAUGUAUGUUUCAAAUGGGGUGCAAUAAGACGUCAUCGAUGACGCCAAUAAAGUAAAACUACCCUUACGCCAAAACAUCGUAUGACAACUAAACUCGUUAUAUGCCAUGUAGAUGUCAAGAGUGGGGCGUAAGGGGGUAUAACAAGUUGGUCGCGUGAUCUGUGAAAUCUUUGACGUCAGUUACGAUACAUGGAUUCCCGAAUGCAACCUUUGGAGCAUGUGAUAGGUUUCUUUCGAAAAUCCAGUCAAGAAUUCAGCAAAAAAGUGUUUGUCUGAAAAUAAUAGUGAACGACUAUGAUAAUUUUAUCGUUAUUAAUAAGUGUAUUUCACAGAGAAAAAAACUUUUGUGCACUUGUAGUGCACUCCUUUUCAUCAAACAACAGCGUGAGACAAAACACUCCUUUUGAAAAAUUAUACAAACCGAGUCAAGAUGGGCGUGACGAAAAACAUCAUCAAAUAUCUUUAAAUAAAGCCCAUUUUGCAUCUAAAAGGCGGAAAAAUUCUCUGAGUACUUAGAAAGUAAUAGCAAAAUAUAAAAUGCGACUUUUUUUUAAAUUGAUGCGACUUUUUGUAAAGUGUCAUGUCAUUUGCGACUAGCUGAUGAAGGCUUGCGAGAACAUUUUGAUUUGGUUUUAGAAUUCAAAUAUCUUUAGGGGACCUUUAAGUUAUGAUAAGGUCACAGUGUACAUGGCGACGAAAUUAUCACACUACUUUAGUAACAGGCUAACCGACCGAGGCCGAAGGCCGAGGUUAUUAUUUUCAAGGCCGAGGUCACGGUAUUUCACGAUACGGAGUGUUUUAAAGCCAGAAACUUGUUAUUAAGGCUAAAAAUCGAGAAAAUGAGAGACAGCCGUGCAGCUAGUUUUUUUCCUCCUUUACCGGAAGCCGUGCAAGUAGACACAGCGGAUGAAAAAAUUGCCAUAAACAAUGAAAACAAUUAAACAGCACUCAUUAUGGCUCAUUUUGGUUGUAACAGCAAAUUUACCAUAAUAUGAAACAUAUUUCUAGUUUUCCUGUAUUCUAUUACGGUUCCAGCUCCACUGUGACUUUCUUCUCUUUGCUAGCCUAUGUCGUCUAACCCCAAAGAUAGCAUUUGGUUAAAUACACGAUAGAACUAGACUUCUACCAAUUUAAUAUCCUGUUAUACAUCCAGAUAUUCCAUAUGGCCCUCUCAUUUGGCACCAAAAUAUGUUUGUUUAAACAAUGUAAUAGCAUGAAUGGUCUUGUUGUUUACUUUGUGUUUACAAGUGAAAUAAUAAACAAUGGAGACCAUUAUAUUGUUCAUAAUAAUGAAUAACUUUGGUUUACAGCCUUUUAUGGGGUCCCCUCCCCAGCCGGGAAAGCUUGUGUUACUUACAUAAAUUGCCCAAAUCAGUGUUAACAUUGCUUUAAUAAUUAAAUGUUUUUUAAUAGUAGAAAAAAAUUAUUUUUUUGUUAUACAUGUCACAGCACAGUGACUAAAACAAAUUGCAAUUCCUCAUACAGUAUGCAUAUGAAUUUCUUAAAUAUCCCAGUCAACCCUGCGCGCAGGGUCUAGUUUGUUUCGAAAUGGCGGCUUUUUAGCGGCGAACUGUCACAUUUUGGCAAAUGCUAAGAAAACUAUCGCAAAGCUAAAGUUCUAACAAAUCUGUCAUCAAACAGUAUGGUUUUAAUGCCGUACAGUUAGUCAAAACAGCGAUUGAAGUAAUUACUUGCGUAAUUACGCAAGACGUACGGCUCACAGAUCGAGGGAUAAAUAGGAAGCUCAAAAUACAGACAAUACACCACGAAUAAAAAAAAUUCAAAAUUAAUCUAAAAAUGAUUAAAAUGACUAAGAAAAUAAGGCUGAGUUUACUAGAAAUGUUGUCUUCUUUCAUGGGUGCGUACGGGCUGGCACAGUUGUUCGCAAUAAGCUAAUUGUAGUUUCCCUGCAAUAUCCUGUACACGCUCUGCAAGAAAGGCGAAGGUGAUUGGUUGUCAGCGGCGGUCUAAAAACUAAUAAAAUGCAGUCAGUCUCAUUUAAGAUGAGACACGACACUUAAAUAUCUUACGACAGCUAGAUGUGUGCCGAUUUCCGUGCAAGAAUGGUAGUUCUUACUUUGUUUCGAUUCUUAAGCCUCUUUCUCUUUCUCUUUCUCUCGCUGAUGGUGCAGGGAAACACCAAGCAAGACAUGCACCAAGUUUACCGUAACAGCAUUCCCUCACUUGCCUACCCCGACAAGAAGCUCAAGGGCUCCGCUAUCAAGGCCGUGCCAUCUCCGAGCCUCGUCUCGUGUGCCCAGGAGUGUCUGAAGCUCUUCCCGCGCUGCAAGUCGUACAAUUAUAUCACCACUUCUAUGAUUUGCGAGUUGAACAGCAUCGGAGUGUCGGGAUCAUUGAUCGAACAACUCGAGCAAAUGGAGCCCGCCUCGAAGACAGUGUUUACUCAAGUACUGGACCAAGCGAUGCUGUUCAAGCAAUGUAGCGACCACUUCAAGUACGGCGUGACGCAAAACGGCCUUUACUACCUACAAGAUACUCAUCACAACUGGUACUCAGUCUACUGCGACUUCACAUCAGAGGCCGGGAAGGCCUGGACACUGGUUUUAUCUUUUAGCUACGCAAACCGCGUUAAACCCGAGUUCUCCUCAAUCCCCUUCUUCAAUGACUCCACCUUCUCAGAAGAUAGCCCUAACUGGGAGGCGUACAGACUUUCUAAACCAAGAAUGGAGUCGCUACAAAAUGCGUCAACAUACUGGCGAGUCACCUGUGACUUCGCCUCCAAUGCAAUCGAUUAUACAGAUUAUUUAAGAGCAAGAAUAAGCGAGCUCGAUUUGCUGACAUUCCAGGGUCUAAAUAAGUGCGGUAAAGUUGAGUACAUCAAUGUAAUGGGCCAUAACUGCACAGGGUGCACAGUGCCAUUCUUCCAGGAGAAUUGGAUGAUGCUUCAUCAUGACAGCUCACUUAAUUCCAAAUGCGAAUUUCUUCCAACUAAUGGUAGUGUGGAAAGUCAAGACAACUUUGGAUUAUAUCAGUAUGCAAACCCAAAUUUUCGGUGCACUGCAUCUUAUGAGGCGACGACCAAUUACUGGUUUGGAACGAAGAUAUAAAGAAAUUGGCCGCACCUUCAUCCAUUGAGGAUGAGAAAAUUGAUGCGUGUGUCCUAAAAGACGUAUAAAUAACACAACGACGACAACGACGACGUCCAGCUUUCUUUUUUUUUUUUCGUGAUUCAACUGCAAAGUUUCUAAGCAAUGUGCAAAUAAAUGGCAAACCUCGCGUACAAGUAAUAGCACUUCAGCAUAUUACAUUUUUAUUAAUCACAUUUUACUUUGUUUCUUUUUGUGCUUUCUUUGUACAUCACUCUUUGUUUUGUGGGAUGCGUUGAGCUACGAGUGCACACAUUAUUUUUCUGCCAAGGGCAGCAAAGUGGUCAUCCUCUUUGAUUAUAAAAUGUGGUAGUCCUAUGCUACCUUACGUCUGCGCUAAAACAAUUGACCAGUAAGGUAAGCUGGUUACAAGCUUUGCUGUAACUUGUAUCCAUGGCAACCAUGCCGUUAUGUGUAACGUCAUCUUCGUCCAUGGUAACUACAUGUUAUCUAAGCAUUAAUGACAAGAAGCAGGCAAGCAAUAGCAGGAUGUGGUCGCACAGUGUCCGGCUAGAGCCACCUUUUGUCCGGCGGCUGUUGAUAGAGGGCGUGGUACUGAAAGGGGGGGUCCGGAGUCCGUUCAAUAACGUUGUGUCCGAUUCCGGUUUUUUGCAAGCGACCUUUGCCUCAGGCUUGUUACGAGCGAUAGCCGGGCACGCCACUUGGGUGUUAGGGGACUGGAACGAGUUACAUAAAAGAGGACGGUAUUAAACGUAUUAUCGAUAAAGCAGGAAAAACAUCAAUUUAUAGAGGCGAAGCGCUUAUACAAAUAAAGGUGCUACAUCAGAGAUACAUAAAAUGUUCGUUCUGGUUACUCUCGUCAAUCUCGUCUAUCAUUCAAACGGAAUUACAUUUUGGCGGUUUUUGAUUGGUCAAGAGCCCUGUGAGGGUGGCGUGAUUGGAAACCAUUUUAGUGUUGUCCAAUUAAAACGCUCAAAUAUUUUAAAUGACGUACGCAAGAAAACUGGAGACAGCCGUGCAGCUAGUUUUUUCCCUCCUUUACCGGAAGCCGUGCAAGUAGACACAGCGAAUGAAAAAAUUGCCAUAAACAAUAAAAACAGUUUAACAGUACUCAUUAUGGCUCAUUUUGGUUGUAACGGCAAAUUUACCAUAAUAUGAAACAUAUUUCAAGUUUGCCUGUAUUCUAUAACGGUUACAGCUCCACUAUGACUUUCUUUUCUUGGCUAGCCUAUGCCGUCUACCCCCAAUGAGAUAUCAUUUGGUUAAAUACACGAUAGAACUAGACUUCUACCAAUUUAAUAUCCUGUUAUACAUCCAGGUAUUACAUAUGGCCCUCUCAUUUGGCACCAAAAUAUGUUUGUUUAAACAAUGUAAUAGCAUGAAUGGUCUUGUUGUUUACUUUGUGUUUACAAGUGAAAUAAUAAACAAUGGAGACCAUUAUAUUGUUCAUAAUAAUGAAUAACUUUGGUUUACAGCCUUUUAUGGGGUCCCCUUCCCCGCCGGGAAAGCUUGUGUUACUUACAUAAAUUGCCCAAAUCAGUGUUAACAUUGCUUUAAUAAUUAAAUGUUUUUUAAUAGUAGAAAAAAAAAUAAUUUUUUGUUAUACAUGUCACAGCACAGUGACUAAAACAAAUUGCAAUUCCUCAUACAGUAUGCAUAUGAAUUUCUCAAAUAUCCCAGUCAACCCUGCGCGCAGGGUCUAGUUUGUUUUGAAAUGGCGGCUUUUUACCGGCGAACUGUCACAUUUUGGCAAAUGCUAAGAAAACUAUCGCAAAGCUAAAGUUAUAACAAAUCUGUCAUCAAACAGUAUGGUUUUAAUGUCGUACAGUUAGUCAAAACAGCGACUGAAGUAAUUACUUGCGUAAUUACGCAAGACGUACGGCUCACAGAUCGAGGGAUAAAUAGGAAGCUCAAAAUACAGACAAUAAACCACGAAUAAAUAAUUUCAAAAUUAAUCUAAAAAUAAUUAAAAUGACUAAGAAAAUAAGGCUGAGUUUACUAGAAAUGUUGUCUUAUUUCAUGGGUGCGUACGGGCUGGCACAGUUGUUCGCAAUAAGCUAAUUAAUGUCGCUUUACGCGUGAAAAGGAAAUGCCCGCUUUGCAACGCAAUGAAUACACUAGGCACGACUAUGGCAGAAUAUGGGGGGAGACAGACCGAUCGAAAGCGAGUUAGCGUGACGUGACGACUAGCGCGUGACGUAGCAACUGUAGUGUAAGCAUAUGACCUUCAGGCCUCAUUCAUCUCCCCUAUACUCCGCGUGAAGGAUCGGACGAGAGUAUUGGCUGGUCCACAAACGCACAAGCACACCUUAUAGCAAACAAACCCCGCUUGGGGAAGUCGUCAGACAGAACUAACCGCAGACUCUCGGAGAUACUCCCCGGUUUAUUUUAAUAAUAAAGCAAUGACUAAGUUAAUACUUGUUUACAGUUGAUCGCCAAGCUAACACUGCCUGUACACACAAAGAAACCUGUCAGUAAAAGGGAGGGAGGGUGGGCAAAUGUUUCUUUACAGUACCCGUAGCUUAUGAAGCGAAAGAGCGAAUGACUUUACUUUAGGUGUGGCGCUUUAUAUAGGUAGAUAGCGACCAAUAAGAAUUUUAAGAACGUGUAUAGUAAGGUAUCUCACGUGAAACAUAUUGAGUAAUACCUGUGCUAUCGUAGCAUGAUACGUGUACUCGUACGAUAUAAUUUAUGAGUGACCUUUGAGCCUGGCUCCGGCUCCAUUAACUGAAAUUACCGUCUCUAGUGGUGACGGUAAUUUUGGAUUGUAGUUUUCCCUGCAAUAUCCUGUACACGCUCUGCAAGGAAGGCGAAGGUGAUUGGUUGUCAGCGGCGGUCUAAAAACUAAUAAAAGGCAGUCAGUCUCAUUUAAGAUGAGACACGACACAAAAUAUCUUACGACUGCUAGAUGUGUGCCGAUUUCCUGCAAGAAUGGUAGUUCUUACUUUGUUUCGAUUCUUAAGCCUCUUUCUCUUUCUCUUUCUCUCGCUGAUGGUGCAGGGAAACACCAAGCAAGACAUGCACCAAGUUUACCGUAACAGCAUUCCCUCACUUGCCUACCCCGACAAAGAGCUCAAGGGCUCCGCUAUCAAGGCCGUGCCAUCUCCGAGCCUCGUCUCGUGUGCCCAGGAGUGUCUGAAGCUCUUCCCGCGCUGCAAGUCGUACAAUUAUAUCACCACUUCUAUGAUUUGCGAGUUGAAUAGCAUCGGAGUGUCGGGAUCAUUGAUCGAACAACUCGAGCAAAUGGAGCCCGCCUCGAAGACAGUGUUUACUCAAGUACUGGACCAAACGAUGCUGUUCAAGCAAUGUAGCGACCACUUCAAGUACGGCGUGACGCAAAACGGCCUUUACUACCUACAAGAUACUCAUCACAACUGGUACCCAGUCUACUGCGACUUCACAUCAGAGGCCGGGAAGGCCUGGACACUGGUUUUAUCUUUCAGCUAUGCAAACCACGCUAUGCCCGAGUUCUUCUCAAUUCCCUUCUUAGAUGAUGGCUCUCUCUCAGAAGAUAGCCCUAACUGGGAGGCGUACAGACUUUCCAAACCCAGAAUGGAAUGGCUUCAACAAGUGUCCACCCACUGGAGAGUGACUUGUGACUUUGAAGUGAAAACCAUCGAUUACCGGGAUUAUUUAAGAGCGAGAAUGAGCGAGAUGGAUUUGCUUACAUUCUACGGUUCACCAAAGUGUGGUAAAGUUGAGUACAUCAACGUAAUGGGUCAUAACUGUACUGAAUGCACAGCAUUAUUCGUCCAGUCGAGUUCGGCGAUAUUUCAUCAUGACAGCACAAAAAGUUUCUCCUGCACUUUUCCUCCAACUGCUGGAAGCGUAAGCAGUCAAGACAACUUUGGCUUGUAUGAGUACGCAAACUCGAAUUUUCGCUGCUCGUCUACCAGUCAGGCAACGACAAACUACUGGUUUGGAGCGGAGAUCUAAACAAUCAAAAACCAACUCUUUGCUGUAUAAUAGAGAAACGAUGCGGAAAAAAAUUGUAGAUGCCUCGCCAUCCUGAGGCCCGAGACAAGCUGUCUUGCAUCACAUAUUCCCCAAAUAAUAGCUGACCAUUGCGUUUGUCAAUACUGCAAGGGGUUCCCGAGUCCCUUACAAGACCAGCAGUUGGGUUGGCGCGUCUUUAACAGAUCCGGCGGGGUUUCAAAGAAUUUGUAGGUAGAUCACGAGGUAAUGGGAGGGAAAGUUAUUAUCUCGGCAAAGCAUCAACAUAGCGAUACGAACAAUUACAAUAAAAAAUGUUAGAGCUUUAGUAUAAACACUACCCUGGAGAAGUCUUUGGCAGAGUCGAAUUCCAGUUUUAGGUGUAUUGUAUUCAUUCUUCUGGUUCACGAACACGACUAUUUGGGCUUUUUGUAUUUAUUAGCUAAUCAUUCUGUUUAUAUAUGUCGCGUAAAAACCAGCCUGUAGGGCUGCUGCCUACCUACGCUGUAUUUAAGCUGAGAUGGCUAGCAGUCAUUCAUCAGCACUUACCGAUUUACACUUGACAGUAGAAUCUGACAAUACCCGCCGUCCAGCACGACCAGGUAGACAUUGGUAUCCGCCACAGUUACCAUGAUGUAGCUUCCACAGCGAAGUCUCCCUUCCACUUUACCACUGAGAGAGUAAACAGUUAAUUCAGUACGUACACUAGAGGCGCACUCAGUACGUACACUGAGAGGCGCUAGUGAUACAAUGUUAAAAAUGUUAUGUGCACGUACAUGGGAGGCUGGGGUACGCAGUGUGCACGGAUUGUGGAUACGGACUGUUUGGAUGAUAUGAAGCACACCCUUAUGUUGCAUUUAGAUCCAAAGUGGAAAGCCUUACAAUAAUCAUUAAACAAAAAGAUACAUAUAAGCACGUAACUCAUGGGUUUCUGCUGAUCAUUCAGAGUUAAUUUUCAUGUCCGAUAAAACGUAGAAUAGUGUAGAUUGCUAAGACUUUGAAUAGAGAUUUAUUAAGAGAAUGGGAUGAGAGUCGACUCUGAUUGCGGGCGCACCCUUUCACAAGUGCAGGACAAGACUCACAAACAAGACGACUCACACCCUGGUACGACAUCAGCUAUUUUGUAGUUUAUAUUUAACUAUUUGAGUAAAUAAAAAAUGGGGGUAACCGA